AGCGAACGCUGGCGGCAGGCCUAACACAUGCAAGUCGAACGGACCCUUCGGGGGUAGUGGCGGACGGGUGAGUAACACGUGGGAACGUGCCUUUAGGUUCGGAAUAGCUCCUGGAAACGGGUGGUAAUGCCGAAUGUGCCCUUCGGGGGAAAGAUUUAUCGCCUUUAGAGCGGCCCGCGUCUGAUUAGCUAGUUGGUGAGGUAAUGGCUCACCAAGGCGACGAUCAGUAGCUGGUCUGAGAGGAUGACCAGCCACAUUGGGACUGAGACACGGCCCAAACUCCUACGGGAGGCAGCAGUGGGGAAUCUUGCGCAAUGGGCGAAAGCCUGACGCAGCCAUGCCGCGUGGAUGAUGAAGGUCUUAGGAUUGUAAAAUCCUUUCACCGGUGAAGAUAAUGACUGUAGCCGGAGAAGAAGCCCCGGCUAACUUCGUGCCAGCAGCCGCCGCUGUAA
rnacentral:rRNA from 1 species